GAUGUGUUCAAAGUCACAAAGUACAUCAACAAAUCGUGUCGGCACUACUGGAACUCUAAACACUAAAAUGGCUUGUACUCGUCUUUUUGUUCUUCUCAUUAUUGGAUCCUUGUUGCUGUUUCAAGCUUCUGCGUUCUUUGAAGACGUUCUCGAGGAACGUGAAGCAGGGUGUAGAAAUAAAUAUGGCUCAAACAUUUGUGGAGAGGUCAUUAAAGAAGAACAUUGCUUAAAGCCUGAUUCACGAAUGGGCAAAUUUGCAAAGAACAAUUGCCCUAAAUUCUGUAAUUUUUGCUGAUAUAGGCUCACAAAAGGCCACAAGCAAAAGUUUAAAUGAUUUCAACAUGACAAUUGACAAUGAAAAGAAGGAACUGUUUGCUGCUAAAUGAUAUGUACAUCAAAUGUUACUGAUUAAAAUAGGGAUAACUAGAGUAUAAGCUGAUGAUUGAACUUAAUUUUGUAAGAGAAAUGAAACAUUAGAAUAAAAGAGGAUUGGAAAAGUAAAAA